UCACUGCCGGCGCGGCCCAAGAUGGAGGUCGGCGGCGGGGAGCCGCUCCCCAGGCUCAGGCGCCCUUCGCGGCGAGGGGCUGAACCCCGCGACUCGCUGCCGCCGCAGCCGCCGUCUGGGGGCGGUGGGACGGCCGAAGAGACUACAGCUGUAGAGAAGAAGAGGAAGCCUUUUACCAGACUGAAUAUUCAUUCUGCAUUCUGGAUUUUGGCAUCGAUUGCUGUGACAUACUACUUCGAGUUUUUUAAAACUGUUAAAGAAACUAUUCAAGCAGACAGCUGGUGGUUUGCCUCUGGCAGUUGUUUACUGGCUGCAUGUUUAUCUGUUGCCUUUUACUGCAUACUGUAUCUUGAGUGGUAUUGUGGAAUUGAGGACUAUGAUGCGCAGUAUCCAGCACUGAUACCUGUCACAACAGCUACCUUUAUUGCAGCAGCCAUUUGUUUCAACAUUGCCUUGUGGCCUGUCUGGUCGUUUAUGACACCUUUGGUGCUCUUCAUUCAGUUCAUGGGUGUUGUGAUGCUUGUGUCCCUCCUGGGAUAAAUCCUUCAGCUAGGUUCUGUCUGAGCAUUGGAAGAUCUGGGGAAAGGAUGCAUUUCAUUGUGUUAAAGCUGAUCGUAUUAUCAGACUAGAGCAACUGUUCUGCAUUAAUUUGUACUUGGAAAGUAAAAAGUACAAGUGAAUUACAGAUAUCCUGAACAGCUGAACCUUGUGAAAACAUUCUGGUUUUCGAUAUGAACAGCUAGCUUUGUGUGAAGGACUCAAGUAACUGUUAUCCUGCAAAGUGGAUGUCACUUCUGUUACAUUCCAGUACUUCUAUUAUUUUUAGUACUGCUUGUUUGCUCUAACUGAUACUGGAAUUCUUAGACUACCCAAUUUAUAAAUCAAAUGGACAUAACCAUAGGUCAGCCAGUGGCUGUGAAAAAGCAACUGAUUAGUGAAUAAUUGAAAGAUACAUAGAUUUUACCUCUCGUUAACAUUUCAUCACUGCUUUGUAAAGCUUUUAUUCAUAUUUCUAUAUUAAGCAGAUGGGUAAUAAGUCAGUUACAUAGUCUUAAAUCCUAUCUGGUGUCUCCAGUAGUCACCUAGUUCAACUUCCUGCUCAAAGCAGGUUGUUUGGUUUGAAAGUAAUUGAUACUUAGUUCAAGUGUUGUGGGGUCUCAGUACUAUAUUAUUUCCAUUUGAAUCAACAGUUAAAAUAUUGUUAUCUGGAAUUUGUGUUUGUACUUGUAAACUUACUCAUAGAUGACACAGGAGACAUUUCUUGAUCUAUUAAAUUUCUAAUGUUAUAUGUGUUAUCAUGGAGGAAAUACUUCAUUACCUAAUCUCUUGAAUUCAGAACUGCUAGUGUUUGAAAAAAGAUAAGGAGCAGGGUAAGGGCCUAGAAAGCUGGUUGAUGUUUAUGUCAUUGUUAAUUUGGCAGUGGCAUCAGUGAAAUAGAUUCUACUUGUGCUGAUACAGUUUGUCCACAGCCAAAGACAGGUGAUCAAGAUGUGACUAAUCAGCAAUAUAAUGAACAAUAUUAACACUACACAAGAAAAUAAGAGCACAAAGUAUAUUCUUUUGAUGUAUGCACUAUUUUUCAGUAUUCAGGAUGUUUUUCUUCCGUAAAUUAACUUUUAAUUCUUAGCAGUGCCUGUCAAUGAAGCUGCCAUUUUUCUUCCUCAGCAAUAAAGAGGCUUGUAUUAACUUAAAUGCUAUUAGUCAUAUACAGUUGGGAAAAUAAAAUAACAUUGUCUGUCUCCAUCACCUUAGCUAAGCUACUUAAGUAUCUGGAAAUCUGGAGACCGUCUAGUUGCUAGACCAUUUUACAUAGAUCUGUGUGUUAAGACCUCGGACACCCACACCUUUUGGAAGAUAGGAGAAUGUAGAAGCUGGGUAUUGAAACUUGUUAAAAUUUACUCAUUAUGACUGUUGCUUGAAGUCUGAACUGUUAGAGGAGACAGUGUUCUUCAUUCUGACUUUCAAAUUCACACCAUUGCAGAAUAUACAAUACAUUAAAUGUUUAGUAAUGAAAAAGAUACACACUGUCUUAAGCUGCUACUGUUUAAUUAAGGAAAAAGUUGUUGGUGUGCAAUACAAAGGAUUAGCCAAACCAAAACAAAAUAUAUUUAGUGCUACUGUUGAGUAGCUUGUAGAGUAAGCUAACAGCUUGAUUUGUUUAAAUAUAAUUUUUAAGUUUUCCAAAACCAGUUGUACUUCACAUCUUUAAAUGGAAAGUUGUCUGCCUUCAGGUCUUCACCUUUUAACAAAUUUUAAAAAUUUUACGUCUGCAUACAGAGGUACAUUUGAGUAACUUUGUUUAUUAUGAUAUUUAAAAUGCAGUGUUGCUCAGGGAUGGUCAUUACCACUGUAUUUUUAUUUGUCAACUAUAUAAAUGUUCCAGGUGUUUUAAGUUGCCUUGUAAUCUUGAAUUAAAAUUACUAUUUGCUA